CUCCCACCCACUGUUUGAUGAAACCCAACAAUCAUGGUGGUCACUUUGAUUGGAUGAUUCCCUGAUAGUGUUCUCUCCUUGGCUACAGACAAUAAUUGAGGCACCUUUUCCUAUCAUGUGUGUCCUUUUACAUGUAGAUAGGAGUGGAUUUACUUGAUGGAGGGAAGGAGCAUAGGUGGAUGGGACCAAAUAGACAUGCAAAAGAACUCCUGAAAGCAGGCAAGCCAGGGAUAAGGCAUUCAGGUUCAUGGCAUGCUCCUCCAGUGCACAACAAUCAUUGGGUGAUGGGUUGGUAUCAUCUCUCCAUUUCUGGACAAUCAGGGGUACAUUGGCUAAUGGAUUCUGUUGAGCUUUCCUCCUGCUGUCCAUCAUCUCCAUUACUGUCAGAACUUUCUGGGUGCAAUAUGAGGCAAACAUUCUCCAUACAAUGUCUUCCCUUCUAGUUUAUUAUGGUUGUAGAGUAGGGACAAUGAGAGCAGCAAUGUCUUGCACUGUCUCUGUGCCUUUUGUAGACCAUGGAAGCCACCAACCACUGUUGGAAGGAUGUAGUGGUAAAGUGCACUGCAAAGUGGCAAGACAUUCUUAAACAGUGCUCACCACAUUAGAGAAGACUUGAUAUUGUGAUGCAAAGAAUUAAAGAUACCUAAAAUCUAUUUUA